rnacentral:lncRNA from 1 species
CCUCAUCCUAAGUCCCAGGACCCAGAGGCUGCAGUCUCAGGGCCCAGCGGUGGGUGACACCUGCCCACCAGGUGGACCUGGGGCGGGGAACCACUAGGAGCCACUAGGAUUCCUCUCUGGCGGGCCGCUGCCUGUGUCUUGGUAAAGGCAUUCGGGCUUUGCAAUUCUGGACCAAUGCGCUGUGCCCUGGGGAGGCGCAGCCCGCUUCAGGGCGGGCUCAGGGCUCUGGGCACGCAAGGGCCCUCUGCAGAGAGGACGCACGGGCUUUGGGGCGCUUGGACUCCGCUUGUGCAGGGCCCGUGGGGCCGCGGGCAGGUCGCCCGCCACCAGAAUCUCAGCGAGUUUCCAGUUUCCCGGAACCUCCGGAGGGAACCAAGGAGCAGAAGGAGUUCAGUAUACACACCUCCCUGGGGCAGACUGUCAGCCUGCAUAAUCAACGUCGCCUCGGCGCUAGAGGAAACUUCCAGAGAACCACUUCCUUGUCCUCGGAAAAAGAAGCUAGCGGUCUCAGGAAUUGCAGAUCAUUAUCUUUCCAUCACCAGGAAGGUAGAGCCCAAUAAACAAAGUUCCUCCAUCAAAAACGACAGCACAGAGAAGACUAGAAACCCGGUUCUUCAUGGUGUCAUUGAACCACUGACUCAAAUCGGCUCUGAAGUAAAGCCCACAUUACCACUUCUUGGAUGAAUACAAGCGGAAAAUCAGGAUUGCUCACCAAGGGAAGUAGCUGUGAUGCAAUGAAAGCAAAAUACUAUUAUUAAAUGUUAAAAAUAAGCAACAGGGGAUCCCUGGAUGGCUCAGCGGUUUAGUCCUGCCUUCAGCCCAGGGCGUGGUCCUGGAGUCUCAGGAUCCAGUCCCACGUCGGGCUCCCUGUGUGGAGCCUGCUUCUCUCUCUGCCUAUGUCUCUGAGUCUCUCUCUCUCUCUCUCUCUGUGUCUCUCAUGAAUAAAUAAAUAAAACCUUAAAAAAAUAAAAAGAAA